rnacentral:rRNA from 1 species
UACAGAGGGUGCGAGCGUUAAUCGGAAUUACUGGGCGUAAAGGGUGCGUAGGUGGUUAUAUAAGUUAGGUGUGAAAGUCCCGGGCUUAACCUGGGGAUUGCGCCUAAUACUGUGUAGCUAGAGUACUGUAGAGGAAGGUGGAAUUUCCAGUGUAGCGGUGAAAUGCGUAGAUAUUGGAAGGAACAUCGGUGGCGAAGGCGACCUUCUGGACAGAUACUGACACUGAGGCACGAAAGCAUGGGGAGCAAACAGG